rnacentral:tRNA from 2 species
GGGCGCUUAGCUCAGUUGGUUAGAGCGCUACUUUCACACGGUAGAAGUCACAGGUUCGAAUCCUGUAGCGCCCACCA